ensembl:lncRNA
CGCCGCGCUCGAAGCUCACCGCCCCGCGCCGCGUCCCCCGGCUGCGCAGCGUCCCGUGGCCACCGGAGCCUGGCGAGAAGCCGUGCCAAAGCCCUCUGCCCUCAGGAAGAGCCUCCCACCACCGGGCUUUAAGCUCCCAGCCAUCCCGAGCCAUUCCACGAUCCUAAGGUUUAUCACUCGCUCUGUCUGGGCAGCGCCGCCCGGGUGUCUGAUUUCUCCCCUCCCCUUCGAUCUCAGCAGCGUGAGGUGCAGCUGCUCUGCGGGGAUGGGCUUGGAGGCUCGGGGGGGUCUGGCCGGAGGGCUGUGCUGCCAGGCACUGUGAGUAGUGAAUAGCGGCAGAGAAUGUGGGAACACAGAGCUGUCUGCCUCCUCCAAUCGGUUUUCCGCUUAUUUUCCAGAAAGUUCCACACUACUGGGGGCUGCAGCAGCGGUGAGGCUGGGUGUUCAUCAGUAGGGCCCUCCCACUCCCAUCAAUGUCCUUCUCUGUCGCCGAGCGACUUGUCCGAGUCCCCUGGAGAGCACCAUCACCUCCCUGGGUCAGCCGUCCAUCCACACUUCCCCCGCUCUUUUCUUGCACAAACAAAACAGCCGAGGUAACCUUUGAGAGCAUUUUCUUAACAACAGCAGUAACAGAGCAAACUAUGAGGAUUCCCACCGCCAGCAACAUCAGGAGACGAAGGCCCUCCUUGACGAGGCCACUCAGCCACCCCGCGACCUUGAGCUAAUAACAGAAUAUCUAUGGCAGUGCGAUUCUGUAGCAAGGCAUGCCGUAAGCUGUUCUGGUCAAGCAGAAGCUGUUUGAGAAAGGAGAGUGCAACCCUUGCAGCAAGCGAGAAAAGCUCCGUGGGAUGCUCACAUUCAGGGGUUAGCAGAGCACGCUUCAUGCGAUCAGAGCGGUUAGAGAGUAAUGUUUCAAAGCUGCUCAAAGGAACGGGUUUCUGUGGAGCCUUCGGCCUCACCCUGCGUGUCUGUUGGUGAUAGCGUGCUCUCUUGGC